rnacentral:rRNA from 1 species
UCCCUAGUGACCGAUAGUGAACCAGUACCGUGAGGGAAAGGUGAAAAGCACCCCGGAAGGGGAGUGAAACAGUUCCUGAAACCGUGUGCCUACAAGUAGUUAGAGCCCGUUAAUGGGUGAUAGCGUGCCUUUUGUAGAAUGAACCGGCGAGUUACGAUUUGUUGCAAGGUUAAGCGGAAAAAGCGGAGCCGUAGCGAAAGCGAGUCUGAAUAGGGCGCAUAAGUAACAGGUCGUAGACCCGAAACCAGGUGAUCUACCCAUGUCCAGGAUGAAGGUAAGGUAAUACUUACUGGAGGUCCGAACCCACGCACGUUGAAAAGUGCGGGGAUGAGGUGUGGGUAGCGGAGAAAUUCCAAUCGAACUUGGAGAUAGCUGGUUCUCUCCGAAAUAGCUUUAGGGCUAGCCUCGAGGUAAAGAGUCAUGGAGGUAGAGCACUGUUUGGACUAGGGGCCCUUCUCGGGUUACCGAAUUCAGAUAAACUCCGAAUGCCAUGUACUUAUACUCGGGAGUCAGACUGCGAGUGAUAAGAUCCGUAGUCGAAAGGGAAACAGCCCAGACCACCAGUUAAGGUCCCCAAAUAUAUGUUAAGUGGAAAAGGAUGUGGGGUUGCUUAGACAACCAGGAUGUUGGCUUAGAAGCAGCCACCAUUGAAAGAGUGCGUAAUAGCUCACUGGUCGAGUGACCCCGCGCCGAAAAUGUACCGGGGCUAAACAUAUUACCGAAACUGUGGAUGAACCUCUUUAGAGGUUCGUGGUAGGAGAGCGUUCUAAGGGCGGUGAAGUCAGACCGGAAGGACUGGUGGAGCGCUUAGAAGUGAGAAUGCCGGUAUGAGUAGCGAAAGAAGGGUGAGAAUCCCUUCCACCGAAUAUCUAAGGUUUCCUGAGGAAGGCUCGUCCGCUCAGGGUUAGUCGGGACCUAAGCCGAGGCCGAUAGGCGUAGGCGAUGGACAACAGGUAGAGAUUCCUGUACCAGUGCUAAUUGUUUAACCGAUGGGGUGACACAGAAGGAUAGGGAAUCGCACGAAUGGAAAUGUGCGUCCAAGCAGUGAGUGUGAGAAGUAGGCAAAUCCGCUUCUCGCGAAGCAUGAGCUGUGAUGGGGAAGGAAAUUAAGUACGGAAGUUCCUGAUUUCACGCUGUCAAGAAAAGCCUCUAGGAAGAGUAGUACUGCCCGUACCGCAAACCGACACAGGUAGAUGAGGAGAGAAUCCUAAGGUGAGCGAGAGAACUCUCGUUAAGGAACUCGGCAAAAUGACCCCGUAACUUCGGGAGAAGGGGUGCUCUAUUAGGGUGCAAGCCCGAGAGAGCCGCAGUGAAUAGGCCCAGGCGACUGUUUAGCAAAAACACAGGUCUCUGCAAAACCGUAAGGUGACGUAUAGGGGCUGACGCCUGCCCGGUGCUGGAAGGUUAAGAGGAGUGCUUAGCUUCGGCGAAGGUACGAAUUGAAGCCCCAGUAAACGGCGGCCGUAACUAUAACGGUCCUAAGGUAGCGAAAUUCCUUGUCGGGUAAGUUCCGACCCGCACGAAAGGCGCAACGAUCUGGGCACUGUCUCAACGAGAGACUCGGUGAAAUUAUAGUACCUGUGAAGAUGCAGGUUACCCGCGACAGGACGGAAAGACCCCGUGGAGCUUUACUGCAACCUGAUAUGGAAUGUUUGUACCGCUUGUACAGGAUAGGUAGGAGCCGAAGAGACGUGUGCGCUAGCAUACGAGGAGGCAAUGGUGGGAUACUACCCUGGCUGUAUGACCAUUCUAACCCGCCACGCUUAGCGCGUGGGGAGACAGUGUCAGGUGGGCAGUUUGACUGGGGCGGUCGCCUCCUAAAGAGUAACGGAGGCGCCCAAAGGUUCCCUCAGAAUGGAUGGAAAUCAUUCGCAGAGUGUAAAGGCACAAGGGAGCUUGACUGCGAGACUGACAAGUCGAGCAGGGACGAAAGUCGGGCUUAGUGAUCCGGUGGUUCCGCAUGGAAGGGCCAUCGCUCAACGGAUAAAAGCUACCCCGGGGAUAACAGGCUUAUCUCCCCCAAGAGUCCACAUCGACGGGGAGGUUUGGCACCUCGAUGUCGGCUCGUCGCAUCCUGGGGCUGUAGUCGGUCCCAAGGGUUGGGCUGUUCGCCCAUUAAAGCGGCACGCGAGCUGGGUUCAGAACGUCGUGAGACAGUUCGGUCCCUAUCCGUCGCGGGCGCAGGAAAUUUGAGAGGAGCUGUCCUUAGUACGAGAGGACCGGGAUGGACACACCGCUGGUGUACCAGUUGUUCCGCCAGGAGCAUCGCUGGGUAGCUAUGUGUGGCAGGGAUAAACGCUGAAAGCAUCUAAGCGUGAAGCCCCCCUCAAGAUGAGAUUUCCCAUUUCUUCGGAAAGUAAGAUCCCUGAAAGAUGAUCAGGUAGAUAGGUUUGGAGUGGAAGUGUAGCGAUACAUGGAGCGGACAAAUACUAAUCGAUCGAGGACUUAACCAAAA